CGGCCUCCAAUUGCUUUAUCAUCAUUAAGUGAUUUUCUCAGAUUUUUCGCCGCGUAUGUUUAUUCUCUAAAAAGCCGCUUCGCAUAUUUACUCCAGUAAAGAAUAAUUCAGUAACAUUCCGUCAACAUCUACAGUAUGUAAGUAAUUUAUAUCUAUUUAUUAUUACACUAUUUAUUCACUGAUCUCUGAGCUAUAAUCUAUCAUUUAUUAUAUAUUAAUAAGUAUGGUGUGUAUAUAUAUAUAUAUAUAUAUAUAUAUAUAUAUAUAUUGUAUGUAUGUUGCCUUGUCUGUAUAUUUUCAUUCCCAUUUUUGCGCCAUGAAAAAAACAAAAAAAAAACACAAGACAAAAAAAAAAUCCCCCCAUUCAUUGUGUAUGUGUCUGAGUGGAAUGUUCGAGACAGACAGGCGCUCUUUUACAAAGCUCAGACACAGAGAUAACAGAUGGCACCAGCGCUAAAGAAAUGGCAAGGGAGAAAGAAAAAGGAUGAGAGAGAGAGAGAGAGAGAGAGAGAACGAAUCAGAUGAGCAGAAAGAGAGUGAAACUGCUUCUCUCUCUACACGAGUCUCCAAGGAGCAUCAGAUCCACAGCUUAUUGCUUAGUGACAGUUCUACAUUAACUACAGAAUACAAUCCUGUGUUCCAUCACCUCAGCAACGCCGACACGCCACACUCACACACACACACACACACACACACGUACACACCAUCGGAAACUGCCUACAAACUUUAAAUUAAUUUCCUUACUUCGGUGUUUUCUCCUGCUCAAUAAGUGAUGCCAAAAUCAGCACUCAAAUAUGAAUACACGUACAGUUUAGUCCAAAACUCUGAGUCCACUUUCGAGAACAUGUUUCUAACACAGAUUUGAAACAAGCUAUCUGCAGGAUUAAGCAAAUUCAAUUUAAUGCUGUUUUUUUUUUUUUUUUUUAAAUCGGGUAGCAAAUGCUAAUUAUCACGCUAUCGUACAGUACAUAAUGCAUGGGUUAAAGUUCAACCAUGUCUGAGUAUUACUAAUAGUAAGGGCCACAAUAGCAUGACAACAACAAAAUAACAAAUAGCCAUGUAUAAUAUACAGUGCAGUGUGGAUAAAGCACCGCUCGUCUACAAAAAAAAUAAGUCCUUCUUGUUACUCAUUUUUAUGCCAGAAAUACCCUUUAAAAUAUACUUCAAACAUGAUGGAAGAUACUGACGAAAAAGCAUUUCUGACAUUCGACUUGACCCUGUCUGGAUCGAUUCCAAAAUUGGAUCCGUUCACCUGCUGGUUGAAACGAUAAAAUUCCAUACGGAUUCGACGCAGAUUUAGAUACUCCUUCUUAAGAUAUUGCGCUAAUGACGAUCAGGAACAGGAGGACAAACUGGCAAAAACGAAUACAAAUACUAAUGAUAAUGAAAAAGCAUGGCAGAAUGAGUAACGUCUGUAAGAGACUCAUUUGCAUUAUCUGCUAGCAUUCCUUUUGAUGAUAAUUUAAUAGAGCCCACAUUUAAAAUGUACACACCAGGCUGCCAUGGAUUACUCAGUAUGUCUUUAAUUCAAACCGACAAAGUUCUGAAAGAGGAGCUGUUUACGGAGAAAUCACGAUUGACAGAAUCUCAGCACUUACACCCUUUCCUGGUCAACAACAACUACAUCAAAAUGUUGCCAAUUAUAUCUGAAUUCAGGUAUAUCUACCAUCCAAAUUAUAUCUGAAUUCAGGUAUAUCUACCAUCCAAAUUAUAUCUGAAUUCAGGUAUAUCUACCAGCAUAAUUAUAUCUGAAUUCAGGAAUAUCUACCAUCCAAAUUAUAUCUGAAUUCAGGAAUAUCUACCAGCAUAAUUAUAUCUGAAUUCAGGUAUAUCUACCAUCCAAAUUAUAUCUGAAUUCGGGUAUAUCUACCAGCAUAAUUAUAUCUGAAUUCAGGAAUAUCUACCAGCAUAAUUAUAUCUGAAUUCGGGUAUAUCUACCAGCAUAAUUAUAUCUGAAUUCAGUUAUAUCUACCAGCAUCAGGUCAUUUGUUUUCAGACAACCACAAUUUAAAAAUAUUGUAAUCGACACUUUGUGGACACAAUCUGGCAACGCAGGUACAAAUGGUGCACUGUGUUUAAGUCGUACUUUAAAGCAUAAUUUCAACUAGGCGUGGAUGAUAUGGCAGAGAUAUCAUAUCAUGGUACUGGAAGCCAUUUUUGUGAUAAACAAUCUGUGAAAAAGAAACUAUUCGAUAAGUGAUACAUAUAUUUUAUGCCUAACAAAAUGGAAAAAUGGAGAAUUAUUUUCAUUUAUUUAUUUAUUUUGUACGAAACCGGAUUCUGCUGUAUAAUAAACUACUCGCUAUUGUAUCAGUGGAGUUCAAGGUGAACAUAUCUAAAGGUAAAAGAUGGCUAAAAGUACUCACCUUACUUCACGAGAGAAUAAAUGGUACAUUGACAAGCCAAUAAAACAGGCUGUGAACAUUAUGUACUUUACACUGAACUGCUGAUUCCAUCAAACUAGUAGAAUACUUCCCAAAUUUUGCUUUCCUCAUACUGUAUAUACACAGUCAGGUCCAAAAUUCUGAAGUUGUUUGGAAGGGAUUCAAGAAAAAAGCCUCUACUCUCGUCCAAAAACAAAGUCGAAUGUGUUCAGUGUGCAGACACUACUGGAACUUUAAAUGGGAUCGGGUUCUAUGGUCAGAUGAAACCAAAAUUGAGCUUUUUGGCAAUAACCCCCAGAGGUGGUUUUGGUGCACACAGAGAGGUAGCCGUAUGGAAAAGUACCUCAUGCCUACGGUUAAAUAUGGUGGUGACUCUUUAAUGUUUUUCUGCCAGAGGAUCUGGACAUUUUGUUAGGAUACAUGGCAUCAUGGACUCUAUCAAAUAUCAACAGAUAUUAAAUGAAAACCUGACUGCCUCUGCCGGAAAGCUUCAAAUGGGCCGUAUUUGGAUCUUCCAGCAGGACGAUGAUCCAAAACAUCAUCAAAAUCAACACAGAAAUGGUUUACUGACCACAAAAUCAAGUUCCUGCCCUGACUAUCCCAGUCCCCUGACCUGAACCCCAUAGAAACCCUGUGGGGUGAACUGAAGAGGAGAGUCCACCAGCAUGGACCUCGAAAUGUGAAGGAUCUGGAGAGAUUCUGUAUGGAGGAACGGUCUCAGAUCCCUCGCCAUGUAUUCUCCAACCUCAUCAGGCGUUAUAGGAGAAGACUCCGAGCUGUUAUCUUGGCAAAGUGAGGCAGCACAAAGUACUGACUAAAAGGGUGCCAAUAAUUGUUGCACACCUAUAUUUAACAAAGAUAUUUUUUUGAUAAACCUGUGUUGUGUUUGCAAUUCUUUGAUAUUCAUCAGAGCAGAGUAUUUCUGUGAAUUCUUUUAACAAAAGAUCAAAAGGUUCGACAAUAAAGAUGAUUUUCACAGCCUUCUUUGCUCAUAUUUAUCAAGGGUGCCAAUAUUAAUGGUGGGCAGUGUAAAUAUUCAUCAGUCAGGUCAGGUUUUGUUUUUUUUUGUUUUUUUACAGGUUUUUUUUCUGGCCUUUCCGUUCUUGAGCGUCACCAGUGGUUUGCAUCUUGAGGCAUCACGAAGCCGUGUCUUGACUGUAGACUUUGACAGUGACACCCCUCCCUCCUCCAGGGUGUUCUUGACUCGGCUAGAUGUUCCGACGGGGUUUUUCUUCACCGAGGAAAGAAUUCUGCGAUCAUCCACUUUAGCAGUCUUUCCGUGAUCUUCCAGGCCUUUCGGUGUCGCUGACCUCGCCAGUGCAUUCCUUCUUUCUAAGAAUGUACCAGAUUGUUGAUUUGGGCCACUCCUAAAGUUUCUCCUAUCUCUCUGAUGGGUCUGUUUUGUUUGUUCAGCCUAAUAAUGACCUCCUUCAGUUGCAUCCACACCUCUUUGCACCGCAUACUGAGAGCUCCCAUUGAACAGCAACCAAAUUUUACGUCCCGACUGUAAUAUUUAAUUGGAAAUUGUCACAAUAAUUAGGCUAUUGGGCAACGAACUGCCUCCCACCAUCAAUUCAACCAAGCCAUGUUCUCAUCUCUUCAAAGGCUUUACUUGUUCCCACACUGCAUUAUACAGUAUCCUGUAUAUCAGUCCAGAGUGUGUAUAAUUGGUCGAUUACACAAAAUUCACAACUAUGUAUACAUCUCUGAAAAUCACAUUACACCAUCAGAUAAGGACGAGGGAGGAAACGGUCUCAAGCACGUUGAUCAGGAAUACUGAUUUCUACAAAUACUGAGGAGUACUGAGAUAAGCGAGCCUGGAAACAACUGAUGUGUUGCCUAGCAACACUUUGGUUAGCUAAUGGAAUUAUAACCGAACUAAUUUUGGUCUGGCCGCGUCGGCACCUCCUCUUUGUUGGUUAUUUUUCUAUCCCAGCAUGCCCCGUUUUUUAUCCCUUGCAUGAUAAACAGAAAUCCAUACUAACUGAAUCACUAUCAGGCGGUAGUCAUUAUGAAACAACGAUUAACGCUAAUGAAAUAAAUGAGGUCGCGAGACAUUUCGAAAACGAAGCGCGUAACGGGUGAACAGCUCAAAUGGAAGUCAUAUUACGGAUUGAAGCGAGGAUUUCUGAUUUCUUAUGUGCUUCAGUUCUCACUUGGUCAUAGACUCGUACAUUCGGACCCUACUUUGUACAAUGGCAAGAGAGUACACACACUUAGUCCUUGACAACUGAACCUAAGCAGUUCUAUAACGGCAGAGGUGGCUUAGCGGUUAAGGCUUUGGGUUACUGAUCGGAAGGUCGGGGGUUCCCCAGCACUGCCAAUGCGCCACUGUUGGGCCCCAGAGCUCCGGGGGCGCUGUAUCAUGGCUGACCCUGCACUCUGACCCCAGCUUCCUGACAUGCUGGGGUGUGCGAACCAAAGAAUUUCACUGUGCUGUAAUGUAUACGUGAUCAAUAAAGACUCAUUACUCAUUAUAAUAAAUCAAAGAGAGAAUUCAACCAUAGUCCGCUUGGUUUAUUUGAAAAAAAUAAAAAAAAUCAAAAGUGCCUAAUGAUUCUAGAAACAAGGUUACCAUCCUAAAUAUAACAGGCCGUUUUCCUGCCUUUCAAAAAAUAGCCCACGUUAUUUGGCUUUAAAUAAAAAUGGCAGCUGAGGACAUGCCUUCCUGUUCCAUUCAUUACCCUUUAAAAAACAAACAAAAAAAAAAAACACGGAAAAAAAGACCACUGCCCCUGACUCCAGUGCAGUGUCCGAGCCAGGAAGGAGCCAUCGAUCUGUCGAGCAAUCAAACCUCAGUGUGAUCAAUCAAUCACAGAGGUGCUUUAUUUCCUCAACUCGAGUCCAUACACGCAGCUGCUCAAUUCCAGCGAAUUUGCUUUAAUUCAAUCCAGUACACGAAGAAUGAGCUUUGCUGUCCGUUUUGAUUAAAGAUCAAAAUGGCCGAUGGGAUUCAAUUCGGACGAGGAAAAUCAACAAUGAAAAACAUGGCGUCAUUGAUCAUAUGGGAGGAGUUUUUUAAAUACAAAAAAAAAGGGGGGGGAAAAACAGCACUGGUUCACUUUUUCACCUUAAACAAUGACUCUAUCACAGUACCUUUUAUUCAAGUAUAGGUAAGAAUAGAAUAAAACACUUGGGGGCAUGCUGUUAUAGGAAAACGAUCAACGAUGGGUUGGUGCGAUGAGACCUGACACGAAGAUGAUUAUUUUCUAAUAACAGCACGUCGUGAAUUGUUUUAUUCCCGUCAAACCACAGCAAUCUGUCGACGCGUAAAUGUAUUUGUUGAUGAAAGAAGGAUACUUCGCCGUUUUUAUUCAUUUGUAGUUUUUAAUUUUGUAGGAACGUCCACAAAAAACCAAGAAACCAGGACGCACCGUUCUGAAGACUUUCCGGUGGUGGAAAACCUUCUAACUGUGCUGACGAAGUGGAGACUUCCUUCAGUGAAUUUUAAAUCGACAUGUCCUUAUAGAAAGGUUUAUUCUUCGGUUUAGUCUAUGUGGACUGUGCGCUGUACAAGCCAUUAGAACGAGUGUGUUCAUAUAAACCUGUCAUUUGAAUUAGUCUUACUACUACAAGUCUUCCCAAUUAAUAAAAUCAACCUUAACAUUAAUAUAAGAUGAAAACAUUUUCAUCUGCUGAAAAUCCUUCCUCGUCCUUGAAAGAGAGAAAAAAAAAAACACGUUCAAAUUGUCCUUUUUGAUCCCGCACAACAGGAGGCACAUUCUCCCCCCCCUCUCUCUCUCUCACUCUCUCACACACACACACACACACACACACA
ensembl:lncRNA